rnacentral:rRNA from 1 species
UACCCAAAAUUUAGCCCGCCCCUCUAAUAACACAACUUAAAUAUUUAUAAACCCUAAAAUACUUAUAAUAAUAAACAAACCAUUCUUCCACCCUAGUAUGGGAGACAAAAAGGGACAAAGGAGCUUUAGAAUUAGUACCGCAAGGGAACUAUGAAAGAGAAGUGAAAAAAAUCAAUAAAAGUAAAUAAAAGAAGAGAUUAUAUCUCGUACCUUUUGCAUCAUGAUUUAGCAAGAAAUAAGUAAGCAAAGAGAACUUUAGUUUAUUUCCCCGAAACUAAGUGAGCUACUCCGAAACAGCUUAUUUAGAGCCAACCCGUAUCUGUGGCAAAAGAUUGGGAAGAUUUCCGAGUAGAAGUGAUAAACUUACCGAACUUAGUUAUAGCUGGUUACCUGAGAAGUAAAUAGAAGUUUAGCCUAAUUAUUUACCGCAUCAAAACUGAAUACUACCCAAAGGGAAAGCGAAAUAAUUAGAGUUAGACAAAAGAGGUACAGCUCUUUUGUUAAAAGAUACAACUUUAUAAGGAGGUAAAAGAUCAUAAACAAUUAAAUAUCUAACUUUUGUGGGCCUAAAAGCAGCCAUCAGUAAAAGAAAGCGUUAAAGCUCAAGUUACACCAUUAUAGAAAUAAGGAUAUCUAAAUAUUCUUAACCCCCUAAAAAUAUCAGGUUAUUCUACACUAGUAGAAGAAACAAUGCUAAUAUGAGUAAUAAGAGGCUUAAUCAUCCUCUCUUUGCAUAAGUGUAACUCGAAAUGAACUCGCACCGAAAUUUAAUGACCCCAAGAAAGGAGGGAAGUGUUAACCAAAUUAAAAACAAGAAGAACUAGCACAUAAAUAUCAUUAACCUUACACCAGAAUGCAAUUUAAGAAAGACUAAAAGGGAAAGAAGGAACUCGGCAAACAUUAGCCUCGCCUGUUUACCAAAAACAUCGCCUCUUGAAUACUUAACAUAAGAGGUCCCGCCUGCCCUGUGACUUAAUGUUUAACGGCCGCGGUAUUUUGACCGUGCAAAGGUAGCGCAAUCACUUGUCUUUUAAAUAAAGACCCGUAUGAAUGGCAUAACGAGGGCUUAACUGUCUCCUUACCCUAGUCAAUGAAAUUUAUCUCCCCGUGCAGAAGCGGGGAUAAUAACACAAGACGAGAAGACCCUAUGAAGCUUUAAAUAAAUUAUGGAUAAUACUAAUAAACUCAAUCAAGGGAACAAAUCAAAUUAAGCCCAUAAGACAUUUUUGGUUGGGGCGACCGCGGAGCAAAAAGUAACCUCCGUGAGGAAUGGUUAUUAACCAUAGCCAAGAAUUACAAUUCUAAGCAUCAAAACAUUUGACCACAAGAUCCGGUAAAACCGAUUAACGAAACGAGUUACUCUAGGGAUAACAGCGCAAUCUUCUCCAAGAGUCCUUAUCGACGAGAAGGUUUACGACCUCGAUGUUGGAUCAGGACAUCCUAAUGGUGCAACCGCUAUUAAGGGUUCGUUUGUUCAACGAUUAAAGUCCUACGUGAUCUGAGUUCAGACCGGAGCAAUCCAGGUCAGUUUCUAUCUGUGAAUAUAUUUUUUUCUAGUACGAAAGGACCGAAAAGAAAAGGCCUAUGAUUAAAUCAAGCCUUACUUUAAUUUAUUUGAAUAUAAAUAAAAUAACCAAUAAAGCAUAAAAUUGCAGUGGAAAACCACCACACGUUAAGGCCAAAACUUUGCUUAUUGAGGAUUAAAAGAGCCUCUCUUAACAUACGGGAGUCACCUUUUUAUUAGGCCCCCCCCCCGCAGGCAUAAGUACCUUUAGAAUUACUAUUCUCGU